CAGCAGCAGCCGCGGGAAUACGGAGGGUGCAAGCGUUAAUCGGAAUUACUGGGCGUAAAGCGCACGCAGGCGGUCUGUCAAGUCAGAUGUGAAAUCCCCGGGCUUAACCUGGGAACUGCAUUUGAAACUGGCAGGCUAGAGUCUUGUAGAGGGGGGUAGAAUUCCAGGUGUAGCGGUGAAAUGCGUAGAGAUCUGGAGGAAUACCGGUGGCGAAGGCGGCCCCCUGGACAAAGACUGACGCUCAGGUGCGAAAGCGUGGGGAGCAAACAGGAUUAGAUACCCCAGUAGUCCCUGUCUCUUAUAC
rnacentral:rRNA from 1 species